rnacentral:rRNA from 1 species
UACGUAGGGGGCAAGCGUUGUCCGGAAUCAUUGGGCGUAAAGCGCGUGUAGGCGGCCAGAUAGGUCUGCUGUGAAAACUCGAGGCUCAACCUCGAGCUGUCGGCGGAAACCAUCCGGCUAGAGUCCGGAAGAGGAGAGUGGAAUUCCCGGUGUAGCGGUGAAAUGCGCAGAUAUCGGGAAGAACACCUGUGGCGAAGGCGGCUCUCUGGGACGGUACUGACGCUGAGACGCGAAAGCGUGGGGAGCAAACAGG